rnacentral:misc_RNA from 1 species
UCUUGGAAACUCCAUCCUUGUUGCUGUGCAGUUUGAAUCGUGGUGUUUGAAGAUUGAAACAUUGUAGAUGAGGAUGUGGGGGGCCUUGUCGGUGGCUGGAAAGAGAAAUCAGAAAAGUUCGGGUCCUCUUGCUUGACAUUUUGCUGGUUUCGACCAGAAUUUGUGUUCCACUUGGCAGCUUGAGCCGGGAAUGUUCCAGUAGUUGGAGAUGGCAAAAU